AAUUAUGAUUGAUUAUUAUUAAGGAUUAAGACUAAGAAAAAUUGCAUUUAUUUUGCUUGGGUUACGAAUUAGUUUUAUGGAGUUCUGGCACUGCAUUUGCCGCGCCGCGGUACGCCACGGAAUUUAACGAUUUCUUGCCGCGGUAAAUCGUGGGCCCUAGAAGUGACAAACAGUUCAAGGUGUUGGCUUUGUCUCCUAAUUCCCCUAUUCAAUCAAACAUCUGUGAAAUGUGCUGAAAAAACAACCAUGGAGCCCCCACCUUGGAACUUACAGGACGUAGAGGUUCUGCUGCUAAUUUCUUGGUGCCAGAUUUCACAACUUCAGAGGUCUUGUGGAAUCCAUGCCUCGAUGGGUCAGAGCUGUUUUGGCUGCACAAGAUGGAUUUACACAAUAUUAGUCAGCUGGAGUUUCUUUUAUUGGGAUCUGUUUGACUUUUCCAUCUGCUCUUAACAAUCACUCCUCACUCUCAAGGUUCUCAAAGAGUACUCCAAUUUCCUUCCACUUUUAAGCGCCACACUUGA